GAGGGGCCCGCGCCUGAUUAGCUAGUUGGUGGGGUAAUGGCUCACCAAGGCAACGAUCAGUAUCCGGCCUGAGAGGGCGGACGGACACACUGGGACUGAGACACGGCCCAGACUCCUACGGGAGGCAGCAGUGGGGAAUUGUUCGCAAUGGGCGCAAGCCUGACGACGCAACGCCGCGUGGAGGAUGAAGAUCUUCGGGUCGUAAACUCCUUUCGAUCGAGACGAAUUGCCUUGGGGUGAACAAUCCCGAGGCGUGACGGUACCGAGAGAAGAAGCCCCGGCUAACUCCGUGCCAGCAGCCGCGGUAAUACGGGGGGGGCAAGCGUUGUUCGGAAUUACUGGGCGUAAAGGGCUCGUAGGUGGCUAACUAAGUCAGACGUGAAAUCCCUCGGCUUAACCGGGGAACUGCAUCUGAUACUGGAUAGCUUGAGUUUGGGAGAGGGACGCGGAAUUCCAGGUGUAGCGGUGAAAUGCGUAGAUAUCUGGAGGAACACCGGUGGCGAAGCGGCGUCCUGGACCAACACUGACACUGAGGAGCGAAAGCCAGGGAGCAAACGGGAUUAGAUACCCCGGUAGUCCU
rnacentral:rRNA from 1 species